rnacentral:rRNA from 1 species
AAGAGCUGGGCAAGACCCGUGCCAGCCGCCGCGGUAACACGGGCAGCUCGAGUGGCGUUCGCGAAUAUUGGGCCUAAAGCGUACGUAGCCUGUUAGAUAAGUUCUUGGUGAAAGCUUGCGACUUAAUCGUGAGAGUUGCCAGGAAAACUGUUUGACUUGGGACCGGAAGAGGUCGGAGGUAUUCUCGGGGUAGGGGUAAAAUCCUGUAAUCCUGAGAGGACCAUCGGUGGCGAAGGCGUCCGACUGGGACGGGUCCGACGGUGAGGUACGAAAGCUAGGGGAGCGACCCGGAUUAGAUACCCGGUUAGUCCUAGCCGUAAAUGAUGUCUGUUUGGUAUUGCACUCCUUACGAGGGAUUGCAGUGCCGUAGGGAAGCCGUUAAACAGACCGCCUGGGAGUACGCCGCAAGGC